UUUUUAGAUUAUUCUUCAUGUUAUCAAUUUACAAUCCAUAUAGAUUUAAUUAUUUUCAUGGGCAUUAUGGAAAAAUAGAAACAAGUUGAAGAAAUAAGAAGAGAGUAUUUGAGGAAAUAGUUGGUUGUUUGAUACUUAUUAUGGCAAGAAAGAGGAAAUUUAAGAGAGUAUGAAAGAGAAAGGUGAACAAACCAAGAAAUCAAUUAAGUUAUAAUAACGACAAUUAACAUACUUGGAGUAAUCCUGUGUCUCACUCAUAAUCACAUUUGUAUACUUUUCUUUUGAUAAAUGUACACCCACCUCAGCUAUAGCUAGCUGAUUUUGAUGAUCUAUGCAGUUCCCUUGGAUUUUAAGCGAGAAUCAUUGGCGUUGAGUGAAUCUGAAGGAUUUUAGGUGGACCUUUGCGGUCGGAAAUGGGAAGUUAGAAUCCAGAUUCCCCAACUUGACUUACAAGCGCGUUUCCGACAAGAAGAUUUCAGACACCGAGUAACGUUGAUACUUAUUUUGCUACAAGCAGAUCCACUUGUGCUCGUGUCUGGUGGAUCAGAGCAUCAGGAGGAGGAGGAGGAGGAGGAGUGGUAGGCUUGCCUGGUUGUCAGGUCUGAUCAAUUGACAGAAGGUUAA
rnacentral:lncRNA from 1 species